GUGUCAGCCGCCGCGGUAAGACGUAGGAUGCGAGCGUUGUCCGGAAUUAUUGGGCGUAAAGCGUACGUAGGCGGUUUCUUAAGUUUGGGGUUAAAGACCGAGGCUCAACCUCGGGAGUGCCCUGAAAACUGGGAGACUGGAGGACGGCAGAGGAAAGUGGAAUUCCCAGUGUAGCGGUGAAAUGCGUAGAGAUUGGGAGGAACACCAGUGGCGAAAGCGACUUUCUGGGCCGUUCCUGACGCUGAGGUACGAAAGCCAGGGGAGCAAACGGGAUUAGAUACCCGCGUAGUCC
rnacentral:rRNA from 1 species